CUAGACAUGUUUUAUUCUCAAAUUUUUAAAAUCAAAAGUUUGCAACCAUUCCAAACAGUUAUGCUACAAUGGCAGCAAAACACGCACUAUCAUUACGAAUUCGAAGCAACGAAUGUGUAAAAUCAUUGUUAUCAUCAUGCAAAACCAUGCAACAAGCUCUUCAAAUCCACGCUCACAUGGUAGUAACUGGUCGCCACAACAAUCUCUUCCUCUCCACCACUCUCUUCUCCUUUUACGCCUCUUCUUUCUCCUCACAAUCCUUACGCCAUUCUUACACCCUCUUCUCCCAAAUCACCAACCCCGAUUUGUUUCUAUGGAACGCCAUCAUCAAAGCUUACUCUCUCAACCUUCAUUCUCCACCAAAACACCCGUUUUCUCUCUUCAAAUCAAUGCUUUCUUGUUCUGUAUCCCCUGAUUCAUUCACCUUCCCCUUUCUCCUCAAAUCAUGUGCUAAUUUGUUGAUAAGUGCUAGUCCUAAAAUGGGUCUUCAGGUUCAUUGUCAUGUUGUGAGAAAUGGGUUUGAUUCUGAUGUUUAUGUUAACAAUGCUAUGUUGAAUUUCUAUUGUGUUUUUGGGGGUGUUGAUAGUGCAUGUAAGGUGUUUGAAGAAAGUUCUGUUAGAGAUUGUGUUUCGUUUAAUACGAUGAUUAAUGGGUUUGUGCAUGCGGGUUUUGUAGGUGGUUGUUUCCGGGUUUUUGAGGAAAUGAGGGUGUUUUGCGUUAAGCCGGAUGAGUAUACUUUUGUUGGUUUGUUGUCUGCUUGUUCUUUGUUGGAGAAUUAUAGGAUUGGGAGGGAGGUGCAUGGUUUGGUUUAUAGAGAACUGGGUUAUUUUGGUGAUAGUGUUUUGUUGGUGAAUAAACUUGUUGAUAUGUAUGCAAAAGGUGGGUGUUUGGUUAUGGCUGAGAGGGUUGUGAGUGGAAUGAAAGAUGGGAAGGGUGUUAUUGCAGCUUGGACUUCUUUGGUGAGUGCAUAUGCUUUGCGAGGAGAAGUUGAGGUUGCUAGAAGAUUGUUUGAUCAAAUGAGUGAAAGAGACGUGGUUUCUUGGACUGCCAUGAUUAGUGGUUACUCUCAUGCUGGAUAUUUUCAAGAAGCAUUGGAAUUGUUUGUGAAGUUGGAAGGUUUGGGGAUGAAACCGGAUGAGGUUGCUGUGGUUGCUGCUCUUUCUGCGUGUGCGCGGCUAGGCGCCCUUGAGUUGGGAAGAAGGAUUCACCGCCAAUAUGCUGGUGAGAAUUGGAUAUGUGGUCUGAGUGGUGGGUUCACUUCUGCUGUUGUUGAUAUGUAUGCGAAAUGCGGGAGCAUUGACACUGCUUUGGAUGUGUUCUGUAAAAUAAGUGAUGAUGUGAAAACAACUUUUCUGUAUAAUUCUAUCAUCUCUGGUCUUGCUCAUCAUGGCCUCGGCGAACAUGCUUUAACUUUAUUUGAAGAAAUGGGGUUAUUAGGAUUAAAACCCGACAAAAUCACUUUUGUAGCAGUUUUAAGUGCUUGUGGACAUUGUGGUUUGGUCGAUGCUGGCAAAAAGCUGUUUGAAUCCAUGUUAACUGUCUAUGGUGUUAAUCCUGAAAUGGAGCAUUAUGGCUGUAUAGUUGACCUUCUUGGAAGGGCCGGCCGUCUGGACGAAGCACAUCGUUUAGUUCUAAAGAUGCCAUUUAAGGCCAAUGCUGUCAUUUGGAGAGCACUAUUAAGUGCCUGUAAAGUACACGGAGAUGUUGCAUUAGCUAGACUUGCCAGCUAUGAGCUUCUUGAGUUGGAGCACAAUCACGGUGCUGGCUAUGUGAUUCUAUCUAACAUGCUAGCAGACAUGGAUCAGCAUGAUGAAGCUGCAUGUUUGAGAAAAGCAAUAGACAAUGUUGUUAUACAGAAGCCGUCCGGUUUGAGCUAUGUGGAACUGAAUGGAACUCUUCACAAGUUUGUGCCAGAAGCCAAAACCGCUGAGCUGGUGCUUGGGGACAUUAAUAUAGGACUGAACUCUGGAUAAUAAAAGGAAGUUCUGGACAUGGUGGCCUCUGAUCUUCCUAUGUGACUGUUAAUCUUAUUACAGACAUUCAACAUUGAUAGCCUAAGUUCCAUGCCAACAGAAAUCAUCUUUGAGACAGAGUGUCAGCUCGGGACACUUAAAUGGGAAAAUGGUUUGAGAUAUAUCCUUUCCAUUGGCACUUGGCAGUUCAUUCCAUGCGAAACCAUUCCAAGAUUUCAUUUAAUGAUCCUGACCUUGACACUGGAGUCAAAGCUAUCUAACAUGCUACGGUGGGUUAGAAGAUAUAGAUGUUCUCUGAACCUCUGAAUUUUCUGAGAACAAAGUUGAUUCAAUUAUUCAUUCUGUAGACAUCAGGGAUAUGAUAAAUCUUGAAACUUCAGCCAACUUAUCUUUGGAAGAAAGGGUCCCAAAUUUAUUCUAAUUGGAGAUUUAGAUUCAGAUGAAGAUGCAGUUUCAUAUCUUUGUGAUGAAUGCCACAAUUAUGCCUCUGACAACAGAAGCUUGUGAUAUGAGUUUCAGCAUAUUGGCAAAUGCUAUUUGAUGCAAAAUACAAGUAGUUGGAGUUGUCUCGGCUGAAGGAACAGACUGAGAAGGAAAAGGAAGAAAUCAGCAAAGCCAGGAAACUUAUAUUGGAAAAAGAUGCAAAGUUUCAUGUUGCAGAAGAAAGCCAUUCAGGACUCAAGGAGGUAUUGCAUUUGGGUUCUUGUGGACUUGGUCCAUUAAUGUAUUCAGAGGAUCUUGCAUUUUCUUGUCCUAGUUAGCUUUUGUUGCAUUUUAAAGCAGAUUAUAGAUGUCUACUAUUGGAUGUGAACCUAAAAUAUCACUAGACUCAUUUACAAGUGACAAU